UUAAGUGAACAAGGGCAUACGGCGGAUGCCUUGGCGCCAAGAGCCGAUGAAGGACGCGGUAAGCUGCGAAAAGGCAUGGGUAGGAGCAAGCAUCCUGUGAUCCAUGCAUAUCCGAAUGGGGCAACCCACCAUCAGUCAUGUGAUGGUACGAAAGAGGCAGACCUGGGGAACUGAAACAUCUAAGUACCCAGAGGAAAAGUAAUCAAUUGAGAUUCCCUAAGUAGCGGCGAGCGAAAGGGGAAGAGCCCAAACCAUGAAACUUCGGUUUUGUGGGGUUGAGGACCGGCAAAAAGAGGAAACUUCUUAGUCGAAUGGUUUGGAAAGGCCAUGCACAGAAGGUAAAACACCUGUAGGCGAAAAGAAGUCAAUCGGGCUGGUAUCCAGAGUACUGCGAGACACGUGAAACCUUGCAGGAAGCAGGGGGGACCACCCUCCAAGGCAAAAUACUACUUGGCGACCGAUAGCGCAUAGUACCGUGAGGGAAAGGUGAAAAGAACCCCGGGAGGGGAGUGAAAUAGAACCUGAAACCGUAUGUCUACAAGCAGUCGAAGCACCUUAAGAGUGCGACGGCGUGCCUAUUGAAGAAUGAACCGGCGAGUUACAUUAUGUUGCGAGGUUAAGUGGGAGACACGGAGCCGAAGCGAAAGCGAGUCUUAAUAGGGCGACUAGUAACAUGGUGUAGACCCGAAACCGCAGUGAUCUAUCCAUGGUCAGGUUGAAGCGCAGGUAAAAAUGCGUGGAGGACCGAACCCGUGAGUGUUGAAAAACUUUGGGAUGAACCGUGGAUAGGGGUGAAAUGCCAAUCGAACGCGGAGAUAGCUGGUACUCCCCGAAAUAGCUUUAGGGCUAGCCUCAGGGAAGAUUAUAGACGGUAGAGCACUGAUCUGGCAAGGGGGCGUAAAGCCUACCGACCCUAGUCAAACUUCGAAUGGCUAUAAUUAAGACCCUGGGAGUCAGACUGCGAGUGAUAAGACCCGUAGUCAAGAGGGAAACAGCCCAGACCGCCGACUAAGGUCCCCAAUGCUGUACUAAGUGGAAAAGGAUGUAAGACUUCAUAAACAACCAGGAUGUUGGCUUAGAAGCAGCCACCAUUAAAAGAGUGCGUAAUAGCUCACUGGUCGAGAGGCCUUGCGCCGAAGAUGUCCGGGGCUCAAGUACAGAACCGAAGUCGCGGCAGGAUUAUAUAAUUCUGGGUAGGGGAGCGUUGUAUAUCCGACUGAAGGUGUACCGGAAGGAGCGCUGGAGGAUAUACAAGAGAGAAUGCCGGUAUGAGUAGCGAAAAGAACAGUGAGAAUCUGUUCCACCGAAAGCCUAAGGUUUCCUGAGCAACGCUCGUCGACUCAGGGUAAGUCGGGACCUAAGCCGAGGCAAAAAGCAUAGGCGAUGGACAACAGGUUAAUAUUCCUGUACCGCUUCAAAUCGUUUGAGCAAUGGAGUGACACAGAAGGUAGCUUGAGCACGCGAAUGGAUGUGCGUGUCGAAGGUGGUAGGUUGCAGUAUAGGCAAAUCCGUACUGUAUAAGACCGAGAACUGAUAGAUAGACGAUACUUCGGUAAAGUCAAAUUCAAGUGAGCCAUGCUGUCGAGAAAAGCUUCUAGUGAGAGAUGAGGCGCCCGUACCGAAACCGACACAGGUAGGCGGGGAGAGAAUCCUAAGGUGCGCGGGACAACCCUCGUUAAGGAACUCGGCAAAUUGUAUCCGUAACUUAGGGAUAAGGAUAGCCGGAGGAUGUGAAGGGAUUUACUUCUGGAGCGUCAGCCGGUGGCACAAGAGAGGCCCAAGCGACUGUUUAGCACAAACACAGGUGCCUGCAAAAGAGAAAUCUGACGUAUAGGUGCUGACACCUGCCCGGUGCUGGAAGGUUAAGAGGAGGGCUUAGAGGCAACUCGAAGGCUUGAAUUGAAGCCCCAGUAAACGGCGGCCGUAACUAUAACGGUCCUAAGGUAGCGAAAUUCCUUGUCGGGUAAGUUCCGACCCGCACGAAAGGUGU
rnacentral:rRNA from 1 species